AGCGAACGCUGGCGGCAGGCCUAACACAUGCAAGUCGAACGAACCCUUCGGGGUUAGUGGCGGACGGGUGAGUAACACGUGGGAACGUGCCUUUAGGUUCGGAAUAACUCAGGGAAACUUGUGCUAAUACCGAAUGUGCCCUUCGGGGGAAAGAUUUAUCGCCUUUAGAGCGGCCCGCGUCUGAUUAGCUAGUUGGUGAGGUAAUGGCUCACCAAGGCUAUGAUCAGUAGCUGGUCUGAGAGGAUGACCAGCCACAUUGGGACUGAGACACGGCCCAAACUCCUACGGGAGGCAGCAGUGGGGAAUCUUGCGCAAUGGGCGAAAGCCUGACGCAGCCAUGCCGCGUGGAUGAUGAAGGUCCUAGGAUUGUAAAAUCCUUUCACCGGUGAAGAUAAUGACUGUAGCCGGAGAAGAAGCCCCGGCUAACUUCGUGCCAGCAGCCGCUGUAAGAC
rnacentral:rRNA from 1 species